ACGUAGGAGGCAAGCGUUGUCCGGAAUCACUGGGCGUAAAGCGCGUGUAGGUGGUGCGCCAAGUCUGCUGUGAAAGCGCCUGGCUUAACCGGGCGAGGUCGGCGGAAACGGGCGCACUCGAGGGCGGUAGAGGGGGGUGGAAUUCCCGGUGUAGUGGUGAAAUGCGUAGAGAUCGGGAGGAACACCUGUGGCGAAGGCGGCCCCCUGGGCCGCGCCUGACACUGAGACGCGAAGGCGUGGGGAGCGAACGGGA
rnacentral:rRNA from 1 species